GCUCCGGCUCCUGAGGCUAGCACAGGUACCAUUCAGUUUGAGUAACUUCAGUUUGGAUGGAUCUCGAGUUGUGUCCUGACCAGAUACAUGAAAUAUGUUAUUGCACAUACUACAAGUGGAUCAACUGUUGCUGGAGUUGAUGUUACUCCUCCUCCAUCUUCUGCAACUGUACUUUCAACUGGAAAUGGCAAUUCAAUUAUGCAAGGGCUUUAAUUGAGAUUCUACCAAACAGCAAGGCCAGCUGCAUGACAGCGUUAGUUGAAUAAAAGUGAGUAUGAAAGAGCGGGCCAAGAGAUUUUACCUUUCAACCAUAUCCGCAUUUUUUGUUGGGAUGGGCGUAUCUCUUGGUAUUGAUGUAUUAGAAGCUCCCAAAGCAGCAAAAUAUUACCACACUGUCUUAACUUCCAUUCAGACUGCUGUGACGAAAACUAUUAUCCCGGAUUGAGCAGUGUCCAGACUGAUCCAAUUGCUACAACUUUGGCUUCCUCCAUAUCAAGUUUGAAAGUGAUUCAUGGGGUUGCUUUUUCAAGCUUCGAACUUU